rfam:Clostridium sp. DL-VIII chromosome, whole genome shotgun sequence.
GAAACCCUACCAGGUAAUGCCUAACCAGUAGCCUGUACCAAGUCCUUGGAGUCGAAACGGUAACGUUAGAUUUAAGCGUAGGACAGGGGAGCCGAAACGCAAGUGAAGCUAUUGAGCCACAAAAUAAUUAUAUAAACGAAGAGGUCGAUGCUGUUAUGUAGGUCGCAGACAAUAUUCUAUAAAUCGUAACGGUGAGAAUUAUAGAACUCUUCCGGGGUCUGAGGGAU